rnacentral:rRNA from 1 species
UACAGGGGGGGCAAGGCGUUGUUCGGAAUUACUGGGCGUAAAGGGCUCGUAGGCGGCCAACUAAGUCCGACGUGAAAUCCCAAAGCUUAACUUUGGAACUGCGUCGGAUACUGGAUGGCUUGAAUUCGGGAGAGGGAUGCGGAAUUCCAGGUGUAGCGGUGAAAUGCGUAGAUAUCUGGAGGAACACCGGUGGCGAAGGCGGCAUCCUGGACCGACACUGACGCUGAGGAGCGAAAGCCAGGGGAGCAAACGGG